AUAGGCCAGAUGUGGAAGCCCCGUAAGGGGUGGAGCUGACUGGUACUAAUAGGCCGAGGGCUUGUCCUCAGUUG
rnacentral:rRNA from 1 species